rnacentral:rRNA from 1 species
GAUCAUGGCUCAGGAUGAACGCUAGCUACAGGCUUAACACAUGCAAGUCGAGGGGCAGCAUAGUCUUAGCUUGCUAAGACUGAUGGCGACCGGCGCACGGGUGAGUAACACGUAUCCAACCUGCCGUCUACUCUUGGACAGCCUUCUGAAAGGAAGAUUAAUACAAGAUGGCAUCAUAAGUCCGCAUGUUCACAUGAUUAAAGGUAUUCCGGUAGACGAUGGGG